rnacentral:rRNA from 1 species
AGAGUUUGAUCCUGGCUCAGAUUGAACGCUGGCGGCAUGCCUUACACAUGCAAGUCGAACGGCAGCACGGACUUCGGUCUGGUGGCGAGUGGCGAACGGGUGAGUAAUGCAUCGGAACGUACCUUUCAGUGGGGGAUAACUAUCCGAAAGGAUAGCUAAUACCGCAUAUUCUGUGAGCAGGAAAGCAGGGGAUCGCAAGACCUUGCGCUGAUUGAGCGGCCGAUGUCAGAUUAGCUAGUUGGUGAGGUAAAGGCUCACCAAGGCGACGAUCUGUAGCGGGUCUGAGAGGAUGAUCCGCCACACUGGAACUGAGACACGGUCCAGACUCCUACGGGAGGCAGCAGUGGGGAAUUUUGGACAAUGGGGGCAACCCUGAUCCAGCCAUUCCGCGUGAGUGAAGAAGGCCUUCGGGUUGUAAAGCUCUUUCGGCAGGAACGAAACGGUGCAGGUUAAUACCCUGUAUCAAUGACGGUACCUGAAGAAGAAGCACCGGCUAACUACGUGCCAGCAGCCGCGGUAAUACGUAGGGUGCGAGCGUUAAUCGGAAUUACUGGGCGUAAAGCGUGCGCAGGCGGCUUUGUAAGACAGGUGUGAAAUCCCCGGGCUUAACCUGGGAACUGCGCUUGUGACUGCAAGGCUUGAGUGUGGCAGAGGGGGGUGGAAUUCCACGUGUAGCAGUGAAAUGCGUAGAGAUGUGGAGGAACACCGAUGGCGAAGGCAGCCCCCUGGGUCAACACUGACGCUCAUGCACGAAAGCGUGGGUAGCAAACAGGAUUAGAUACCCUGGUAGUCC